GAGUUUGAUCCUGGCUCAGAAUCAACGCUGGCGGCGCGCCUAACACAUGCAAGUCGAACGAGAAAGUGGAGCAAUCCAUGAGUAAAGUGGCGUACGGGUGAGUAACACGUGGGUAAUCUACCUCUUAGUGGGGAAUAACCGAGGGAAACCUUGGCUAAUACCGCAUAAGCCUGAGAAGGGAAAGCAGCAAUGCGCUGAGAGAGGAGCCCGCGGCUGAUUAGCUAGUUGGUGGGGUAAGAGCCUACCAAGGCAGAGAUCGGUAGCCGGCCUGAGAGGGCACACGGCCACACUGGCACUGAAACACGGGCCAGACUCCUACGGGAGGCAGCAGUGGGGAAUCUUGCACAAAGGGGGAAACCCUGAUGCAGCGACGCCGCGUGAGCGAUGAAGCCCUUCGGGGUGUAAAGCUCUUUCGUCAGGGAAGAUAAUGACGGUACCUGGAGAAGCAGCUGCGGCUAACUACGUGCCAGCAGCCGCGGUAAUACGUAGGCAGCAAGCGUUGUUCGGAGUUACUGGGCGUAAAGGGUGUGUAGGCGGUUCUUUAAGUUUGGUGUGAAAUCUCCCGGCUCAACUGGGAGGGUGCGCCGAAUACUGAGGACUAUGAGUACGGGAGAGGAAAGUGGAAUUCCUGGUGUAGCGGUGAAAUGCGUAGAUAUCAGGAGGAACACCGGUGGUGUAGACGGCUUUCUGGACCGACACUGACGCUGAGACACGAAAGCGUGGGUAGCAAACAGGAUUAGAUACCCUGGUAGUCCACGCCCUAAACGAUGCAUAUUUGGUGUGGGCAGUUCAUUCUGUCCGUGCCGGAGCUAACGCGUUAAAUAUGCCGCCUGGGGAGUACAGUCGCAAGGCUGAAACUCAAAGGAAUUGACGGGGGCCCGCACAAGCGGUGGAGCAUGUGGUUCAAUUCGACGCAACGCGAAGAACCUUACCUGGGCUCGAACGGCUUCUCAACGUCGGUAGAAAUACUGAUACCCCGCAAGGGGGUGGAGUCGAGGUGCUGCAUGGCUGUGGUCAGCUCGGUGCGU
rnacentral:rRNA from 1 species